AUUGAACGCUGGCGGCAGGCCUAACACAUGCAAGUCGAGCGAGCGGCGGACGGGUGAGUAAUGUCUGGGAAACUGCCUGAUGGAGGGGGAUAACUACUGGAAACGGUAGCUAAUACCGCAUACCAUCAGAUGUGCCCAGAUGGGAUUAGCUAGUAGGUGGGGUAACGGCUCACCUAGGCGACGAUCCCUAGCUGGUCUGAGAGGAUGCCCAGCAACACUGGAACUGAGAAACGGUCCAGACUCCGACGGGAGGAAGCAGGGGGGAAUAUUGGACAAUGGGGGAAAGCCUGAUGCAGCCAUGCGGCGUAUGUGAAGAAGGCCUUCGGGUUGUAAAGAACGGUAAGCGGGGAGGCAUUACCCGCAGAAGAAGCACCGGCUAACUCCGUGCCAGCAGCCGAGGUAAUAC
rnacentral:rRNA from 1 species